rnacentral:rRNA from 1 species
UACGUAGGCAGCGAGCGUUGUUCGGAUUUACUGGGCGUAAAGCGUGCGUAGGCGGUGGUCCAAGUCUGGUGUGAAAUCUCCCGGCUCAACUGGGAGGGUGCGCCGGAAACUGGGCCGCUGGAGUACGGGAGAGGCAAGCGGAAUUCCAGGUGUAGCGGUGAAAUGCGUAGAUAUCGAGAGGAACACCUGCGGCGAAGGCGGGUUGCUGGGCUGAUACUGACGCUGAGGCGCGAAAGCCAGGGGAGCGAACGGG